AAAAUGAGAGUUUGAUCCUGGCUCAGGAUAAACGCUGGCGGCGUGUCUAAGGCAUGCAAGUCGUCUGUCCUCCCGUAGCAAUACGGGCGGGCAGGGCAAACGGGUGCGUAACACAUUGGCAACCUACCUUGAGGACGCGAAUAACCCCGAGAAAUCGGGAGUAAUACGCGAUAAAAUCGGGGGGACACAAGUCAUUCCCAAUUAAACCCCGUAGCAAUACGGGGGCCUCAAGAGGGGCCUAUGGCCUAUCAGCUUGUUGGUGAGGUAACGGCUCACCAAGGCGACGACGGGUAGCGGGUGUGAGAGCAUGACCCGCCUCACUGGGACUGAGACACUGCCCAGACUCCUACGGGAGGCUGCAGUCGAGAAUAUUCCUCAAUGGCCGAAAGGCUGAAGGAGCGACGCCGCGUGCAUGAAGACGCCCUUCGGGGUGUAAAGUGCUUUUCUCUGGGAAGAAUUAUGACGGUACCAGAGGAAUAAGGAGCCGCUAACCUCGUGCCAGCAGCGGCGGUAAUACGAGGGCUCCAAGCGUUAUCCGGAUUUAUUGGGCGUAAAGCGUCCGCAGGCGGCUGAAUACAUCUUCUGUUAAAUCUAUUGACCUAAUCAAUAGGCCGCGGAAGAGAUGGUUCGGAUAGAGACCGGGAGAGGCAAGCGGAAUUGCUGGUGUAGGGGUUAAAUCCGUUAAUAUCAGCAGGAACACCAAAUGCGAAAGCAGCUUGCUAGAACGGUUCUGACGCUCAGGGACGAAAGCGUGGGGAGCGAAUGGGAUUAGAUACCCCAGUAGUCCACGCUGUAAACAAUGGAUGCUAAGCAUUGGCAGUAUCGACCCUGUCAGUGCUGUUCACCUAAGCUAACGCGUUAAGCAUCCCGCCUGGGGAGUACGGCCGCAAGGCUAAAACUCAAAGGAAUAGACGGGGACCCGCACAAGCGGUGGAGCAUGUGGUUUAAUUCGACGGUAAGCGAGGAACCUCACCAAGGCUUGACAUCCAGCUGCAGACUCCUGGAAACAGGAGAGCCUUCGAGGGUGCUGGACAGAUGCUGCAUGGUUGUCGUCAGCUCGUGUCGUGAGAUGUACCGUUAAGUCGGAAAACGAGCGCAACCCCUAUCCUAUGUUUUAUAUGUCAUAGGAAACUGCCCGUUUUAAAUGGGAGGAAGGUGGGGAUGACGUCAAAUCAGCAUGGUUCUUACGCCUUGGGCUACACACGUGCUACAAUGGAGGGUACAGAGGGACGCCAAAUCGCAAGAUGGAGCAAAUCCCUUAAAACCCUUCUCAGUUCGGAUUGAGGUCUGCAACUCGACCUCAUGAAGCCGGAAUCGCUAGUAAUCGCGCAUCAGCAAUGGCGCGGUGAAUACGUUCUCGGGUCUUGUACUCACCGCCCGUCACACCAAGAGAGCCGAUAAUACCCAAAGAAUCAGCUUGGCUGGUUUUAAGGUAGGAUUGGUAAUAAGGGUGAAGUCGUAACAAGGCAUCCGUAGCGGAAGCUGUGGAUGGAUCACCUCCUUUCUAGGGAG
rnacentral:rRNA from 1 species